GAGUUUGAUUCCUGGCUCAGGAUGAACGCUGGCGGCGUGCCUAAUACAUGCAAGUCGAGCGCGUCUUUCGGGGGCUUGCCCCCAGUAAAGACGAGCGGCGGACGGGUGAGUAACACGUGGGCAACCUGCCCAUCAGACCGGGAUAACCACGGGAAACCGUGGCUAAUACCGGAUAAUCCUUUGCCACGCAGGUGGCAAAGUUGAAAGGCGGCUUCGGCUGUCACUGAUGGAUGGGCCUGCGGCGCAUUAGCUGGUUGGUGGGGUAACGGCCCACCAAGGCGACGAUGCGUAGCCGACCUGAGAGGGUGAUCGGCCACACUGGGACUGAGACACGGCCCAGACUCCUACGGGAGGCAGCAGUAGGGAAUCUUCCGCAAUGGACGCAAGUCUGACGGAGCAACGCCGCGUGAGUGACGAAGGGUUUCGGCUUCGUAAAACUCUGUUGUUAAGGAAGAACGUCCCCGUGAGAACUGCACGGGGAGUGACGG
rnacentral:rRNA from 1 species